AACAGAUUGUGGAUCUUGGGAAGUGUCCAGCCGUAGAACAGAAUCAGAACUCAGCAGAUACCACACCUAACCAUCUGGUAUUUUAGAAAUUUCAUACCAUAGGAAGGGUGCAGUAAGCCUUAUCUAACUGACAGAGAAAAGGGAAGUUUUCAGACAGGCAGCUACCGGGACACUGACUUCUCAGAGAUACUGAACAGCUUUGGGGAACUGAAAUAUUGGAAGUAGGAGAAAGAACAACAUAAAAAAAAACCAAAGGGACACCCCAUACCCUCCAUGGAGGAUCUGUAACAUGUUGGAAAAUCCAUAUUCACUCUCACUUCUCAUCACUCAUAGAGCUCCAGACCCUAAAUUUUGGAGAGAGCUUCUGCUGACAGAAUGAGUCUAGCAUAACGAGAAGGUUGUACAAAAAUGCUGUAACUUUCCCAAAGUCCAAGAGUUAAAUUAUGAAGAAUAAAAGCUAUUAUAGGUGUUCCAUCAUUCUUCUUAGGAUCGGCUGGUGCCUGGGGGUGGAAAAGCAGGUGCUUCCUUGAGGCUACAAGAGAUACCAAGCAGUCUAAAAGAAGCAAAGAAGAUUUAAGAAAGGCACGAGAGGCAUAGAAGGCUUCUUGUGUGGAGUAUUUUAACUGAGUAAUAAAGCUUAUUAUUGAA